GGGCGAGUUUGCCGGAGGACGCGGCCCCGGCCACGAUCCCGGGGGCGGCGACGGUGUCGACGCUCUCCGGGUCAUGGCCGGCCAGCCCC
rnacentral:tRNA from 1 species